rnacentral:rRNA from 1 species
GCUCAAAUUUGAAAUCUGGCAGUCUUCGAUUGUCCGAGUUGUAAUCUAGAGAAGUGUUACCCGCGUUGGACCGUGUACAAGUCUCCUGGAAUGGAGCGUCAUAGAGGGUGAGAAUCCCGUCUUUGACACGGACUGCCAAGGCUUUGUGGUGCGCUCUCAAAGAGUCGAGUUGUUUGGGAAUGCAGCUCAAAAUGGGUGGUAAAUGCCAUCUAAAGCUAAAUACAGGCGAGAGACCGAUAGCGAACAAGUACCGUGAGGGAAAGAUGAAAAGAACUUUGGAAAGAGAGUUAAACAGUACGUGAAAUUGCUGAAAGGGAAACGCUUGAAGUCAGUCGCGUUGGCUGGGAAUCAACCUUACUUUUGUUGGGUGUACUUUCUAGUCGACGGGUCAGCAUCAGUUUUGACCAGUGGAUAAAGGCGUAGGAAAUGUGGCAUCUUCGGAUGUGUUAUAGUCUUGCGUUGUAUACAUUGGUUGGGACUGAGGAACUCAGCACGCCGCAAGGCCGGGGUUCGCCCACGUUCGUGCUUAGGAUGCUGGCAUAAUGGCUUUAAUCGACCCGUCUUGAAACACGGACCAAGGAGUCUAACAUGCCUGCGAGUGUUUGGGUGGAAAACCCGAGCGCGUAAUGAAAGUGAAAGUUGAGAUCCCUGUCGUGGGGAGCAUCGACGCCCGGACCAGACCUUUUGUGACGGAUCCGCGGUAGAGCAUGUAUGUUGGGACCCGAAAGAUGGUGAACUAUGCCUGAAUAGGGUGAAGCCAGAGGAAACUCUGGUGGAGGCUCGUAGCGAUUCUGACGUGCAAAUCGAUCGUCAAAUUUGGGUAUAGGGGCGAAAGACUAAUCGAACCAUCUAGU